UGCCAUUGAAAAGAAAAAAAAAUAAUAGAAAGUUUUGUUUGUCCGGAGUCUCUCUUUUCUCUUACGCCGUCAACAAAAUCAGAGUUCUCCUAUCGACAGUUGCUGUCGUCCCUACCCCACUCCCACAACAACUCCUCCAUCACAGCCACCUUUGAUUUUGUCCCCUCCUCGUCAAGUCGCCAUCGUCCCCGUCGUUCAAGAUGAACCCUAGCUCCGAUUUGUGUAGGUUUUUAAAUCGAUGAAAUUGACACUGUAUGGCUUUUUACAUAUUUGGCAUUUCAAGCAUCAGGUCUUGCUGAUUACUUUUUACCAGGUCUUGCCUCGACAGUAAUUGUCCUGAUGAACAAUGAAAUAAAGGCCAUUAGGCGCUUAUCCAUGAUCUCAAGCUUUCGAUGAAGUCUUUACAACGGCUAUAGAACAUCUGAAGAAGUCACUCGAGUUGCUAACAAAUCCAUCUGACGGUCACUGAAGUUCAUAUCUAGGUUUGUGAAACUUGGGGGUUUGAUGUGUGUGAAUAUAUGUACGAGCUCACAGUCAGUCACACAUACAAAUAAGAAACUAUUGCAAGAAGUCUUCCGAUUGUUUGAACUAAUGUUGUUUAAUCUGCAAUCUCCACUCCCUGCGUGGUUAUCUUAAUA